CGGUGUUUAACUGGCGUGAUGUGGGACGUCCUACCGGUGGGCUUAGCCUCGCGAGGGGCGGCCCAACUAAUAUCCCGUCGCGGUGCUCUUUACUGAGUGUCGAGUCGGGCCGGUACGUUUACUUUGAACAAAUUAGAGUGCUUAAAGCAGGCUAUCCUCGCCUGAAUACUGCGUGCAUGGAAUAAUGGAAUAGGACCUCGGUUCUAUUUUGUUGGUUUUCGGAACCCCGAGGUAAUGAUUAAUAGGGACAGAUGGGGGCAUUCGUAUUGCGACGUUAGAGGUGAAAUUCUUGGAUCGUCGCAAGACGGACAGAAGCGAAAGCAUUUGCCAAAAAUGUUUUCAUUAAUCAAGAACGAAAGUUAGAGGUUCGAAGGCGAUCAGAUACCGCCCUAGUUCUAACCAUAAACGAUGCCAGCUAGCGAUCCGCCGAAGUUCCUCCGAUGACUCGGCGGGCAGCUUCCGGGAAACCAAAGCUUUUGGGUUCCGGGGGAAGUAUGGUUGCAAAGCUGAAACUUAAAGGAAUUGACGGAAGGGCACCACCAGGAGUGGAGCCUGCGGCUUAAUUUGACUCAACACGGGAAACCUCACCAGGCCCAGACACCGGAAGGAUUGACAGACUGAUAGCUCUUUCUUGAUUCGGUGGGUGGUGGUGCAUGGGCCGUUCUUAGUUGGUGGAGCGAUUUGUCUGGUUAAUUCCGAUAACGAACGAGACUCUAGCCUGCUAAAUAGGCGUACCUUAUGGUAUCGCGAAGGCCCCCGGCUUCGGCCGGUGGGUUUUUACUACCAACGUACAAACAAAUCUUCUUAGAGGGCACAGGCGG
rnacentral:rRNA from 1 species